GGGGAUGUAGCUCAGUUGGGAGAGCGCCGCCUUUGCACGGCGGAGGUCAGGAGUUCGAGCCUCCUCAUCUCCA
rnacentral:tRNA from 3 species